rnacentral:miRNA from 13 species
UGCAUCAUGCGUGACCUGUCCA